AGAACAGGAACUGUGUUAGGGAUAAAAACCCCUGCCCUACCUGGCUAGGUGUGCUCUUGUGAUUGUGACUGACACAGGCAGCACCCUUUUGCAGAAGUAGAUGUGCGUUGCUGAGAAAUUUUCUGCCUAAGUUCUGGUUUUCUUUGCAGCACCCAGCAUUUGUUUCUAACACAGGGAAAGAGUGAGCUGGAGAAACCUCUCAAAUUCAAGAAAGCGUAAAGCAAAUUGAACAAUACGGGUGAGGAGCACGGACUAUUCUCUCAUGUUGAAUGUGGCACUUUUUACAUACAAGCAGGAGAGCAACUACACCAAGAUUUUGGAAAACAUGUUAUGUAAGGCCAUAUCUUAUUUCAUCUUUCCACAACAUCUGAUACAGUUGAUUCCUCUACUUCACCUUCUUCACUUUGCUUGAAGGACACCACAGAAAUAGAACAUGGCCAGACUCAGAAGUGCCCCUGGGACCCUCUUCCAAUUACCAUCAUUUUCCUUCUCUCCAAGUUAAUUGUGACCUCUAUGAUGGGGAUAUGAUAAAGAAGAAAAGUACCUCACAGCGAUGAUUGGCAUGUGAUCACUUAGCCAAUGAGAUAAGAGGCUGUAGAAACGAUGUGAUAAUGACAUCUCCUGAGUUGCAGGUCCAUAUUAGAAGUGGAUAUGAAGUAAACAUUGAGCUUUCCUCACAUUUAAUUAACAAGCUUUAUUAUAGAUACAGCUCAAAUUAGUUAAUUCAGGAAGCUUAUUUUGUAGAAAUUAAAACAUUAAUAAACACAUACAUUUAGAAAUAAAGAACUCGGCUGACCCUUUGACUCUUUGAAACAAGUGGCCUUCCAUGCUGUGAAAGAUUGUAGCCACUCUUUGAGACAUUGGAAUGGUGUCCAUUGCAUUUUAUCAAGUUAACUAUAGGUCAGCCUGGGAAAUCUGAAGUUUCCUUAUCUCCUGUCACUGUGGUUGCUGUGAGAUUUUGUGUCAUCACUGUGCUGUCUUCCCUCUCCACAUGAAGGUGAGCUGUCUGGCUUCACUCUAACGUUUGUGAUUUCACGCCCGACCUGAUUGUUGCCAAGCAAUUCCUUUGUUUGGAGAAUUCUGUGCUUUGUUUAGAAUUUUUUAAAGGUUCUUUUCCUGUGGUCAGAUUUCUGUUUGCUACUGUGUCUUAUGCCUUGUUCUCCUACAGAGAAGAUUCUUUGAAGUUAGUGGAAGCUCAGCUUAAAGGAAGAUCUACUGCUCUGUGUGGUGGAUGACCAUGGGGGAGCGAGAAGGCAGCCUCCGGCUUUUGUUUUGUGUGUGUGUGUGUGUGUGUGUGUGUGUGAUGUACCUGGAAAAAUAACACGACUAGGAUUAAAGAGUAUGUUUGGCAUGUUUAAAAUAAAUUGUAAACCAAACGUAUUUUAAAGAAUUUAUACAAAUUUGUCAUUUAGUAAAAUGAAUGACUAUUGAGUAUUCAUGUCAAUAAAACAACCACUUGAAUACAA
rnacentral:lncRNA from 1 species